UUCACAUUGUUGAUCCCCGUUGUUCC
rnacentral:piRNA from 1 species